AGGAAAUCCUGCCUAAAGGAUUCAUGAGGUAAAAGAAGAACAGAAGGAAGGGAUAGAGUGGAGAUGGUAGUAACCAUGCUAGAAAGAAAAGGGAGUCAUGAAUGGGGAAAAGGUUUUUAGCAUUGACAUAUUUCCCAUACAGAACUACUACUUACAUAGAAUGGAACACCAAGAUUCCCUAAACCACUGAGGCAUGGCUCACCUUGAUUCCAUUCUACAAAUUUUGAGAGAAAGAAAGAGAGAGAAAGAGAGAGAGAGAGAGAGUACAAAUCACCAUAAACAGGAAGACUAUCUUGCUACUGAAGAAC